GUGAUCUGCCCACUUCGACCUCCCACGGUGCUGAGAUUACAAGCGUGAGCCAUCACGCCCAGCCUUCUUCUACUGUUUAAAUGUUUAGGUUAUAUCCUGUUUCGUUAAUAUUAAAUAAUGCUGUAAUUAAAAACUUUGUGUAUAAAGAAUUUUUCCAUGUUUCAGAUUAUUUAUCCAGUAAGAUGUCUCUAAAAUAAAGCUACUAGAGGUUGAAGUACCUAGCCAAGGACCAGUCACAGAAUAGACACAACUUGGUUGAUAACUAUUGCUGUUCAGUGCUCCUCUAGUCUGGCUUUUGUCUCUGCCACGCCUACCAAAACCACUCUGCUCAAGGCCAUGGUCAAUGUCUCCAUUGCCUAGUGCAGGACCGUCAGAGCUGCUCUGGGACAGAUACACCAGAUGCAUCAGCUUCCUGAUAGAGCAGAAUCUCAUUGGGGGCUUGAUGCCCCCACAGCCUGACGCUCUGGGAUGGAUUUCUGCACAGAUGCAACCUCUGUGGGCAGAGGCCAGGAUGAGGCUUAUGUGGCUGUGAAGACCAGCCUUCGAUCUGUUUUCUGAUGCAACCACAGUGCUGCAGGCUCUGCUUCAUCUUGGAGGUUUGAUGGGUGCAAACAUGAGGGGUUUCUGGGUAGAGCUGAGCCCUGGGCCCUCGAGUCUCCUCUGUCUGCACAGCUGUAUGAGGUUGGCAAAGUGCCAGCCAACCUCAGUGCAACCCUCACCAAGUUCUCAAGGAACAGCCUCUGAAGGUCCUUCUCUAUGCUGAGUUCUAGGGAAGGAAAAGGAACUCAAGGAAUAGAAGAGCUGAUCUGCCCAAGUCAUACAUUUCUUGGGGGCACAGGAGGACUACAUCUCUAUGCUCACUUGCAAUUCACUGUGGCCACUCAAAUUAAGGUUUACCAGAUGGAAAGUGAGCAGAAGUGAUGUGUUCUCCCUCCAAGCCUAACCCAUGAAAAACCUACUGGGAACACUCCCCCAUGCUCUUUUCCAUUCCAUGAGCUGGAUGCAGAUGAUGGCAAGGAACUAGUGUGAGGUGGAGCCAUAAAACAGAGGGAGCUUGGAUCCCUGAAUGACCACAUGGACAUACACAUACACCAACGACUGCUUUGUAAGCAAGAAAUAAACAUCUACUGUAUGGAA